GGCAAGGUCUCUUCGGUCUGAGACUGGCCCUGUGGAUCAUGCAAUCUUGACUGUGUAAGGCUGUGUCAUGUUGGUUUGCAAACUGGCCUCCCUGUACACAGAGAACAAGGAGAGACCAAAAAAAGAGGCAGACCGCUGGUUUACUAAGCAAGGAAUGAGCUCACAAGGCUUGUCUUGGGCACUGCAAGAUGAGGUUAUGAUGGAUUUCGACAAGUCCAGCUUGCAGCAGGACAGCGCGACCCAGUGGAGAUGGAGUAGUUGCCCCUUGUUCAGGGGUGCAAAGUAACGCCCCCCAUCCCGGUGGGAUGAGUCACCGCAGAUGCCAAUAGAUAAUGCCUGUCUCAGGCAGAUUACCUACAUCAAGAAGAGCCUUUCAUAAUCUCAUCAAGAGCAGACCAACAGUCCAGGAAAACUGUCCUUUUAGCAGAUGAAAGAAAAUGACACUUUACUUUUCAUGCUGAAUAACUGUUGAAUUUCCUGUGGUUGCUGUGACAAAUGACUACGGAGUCAGUGGCUUAAGAUGACAGAAAUGUCUUCUACUGUUCUGGAGGCUAGAAGUCUGAAAUCAGUAUCACUGGGGUGAAAUCAAGGUGUGGAUGCCCCCCACCCCUGCCUUCUGGAGGUGCUAGGAGAGCAUCCUGUCUGGGCUUCUCCCAGCAUCUGGUAGCUGACCACUCUCUCUCUCUCUCUUUCUUUCUUUCUUUCUUUCAAGAUUUAUUUACUUUUCCUUGAGUGAGAGAGAGUGAGAG